AAGUUAUGCCAUUAAUUUCUCUUGAGGAGUUAGCAUUCACCGACUCAUAAUGGGGUUCAUUAUUCUAGUAAUAAUCAUGGUCAAUCACUUUUUUUUAUUGAACAAUGAGUUAAGCCAAUUACCAAAUGGCCUAAGUUGAGAAAGCCAACUAUCAGUUGUCAAUCAAUUCCUUCAAGAAUCUACGAAAAUUAAGGACAAUAUUACCUUUCCACACUAUUUUUCAUUAUUCUUUCAAUUUGUAUUAG
rnacentral:lncRNA from 1 species